UACGAAGGGGGCUAGCGUUGUUCGGAAUUACUGGGCGUAAAGGGCGCGUAGGCGGUGCAUCAAGUCAGGCGUGAAAGCCCCGGGCUCAACCUGGGAACCGCGCUUGAGACUGGUGCGCUCGAGUUCGGGAGAGGAUGGUGGAAUUCCCAGUGUAGAGGUGAAAUUCGUAGAUAUCGAGAGGAACACCUGCGGCGAAGGCGGGUUGCUGGGCUGACACUGACGCUGAGGCGCGAAAGCUAGGGGAGCGAACGGG
rnacentral:rRNA from 1 species